rnacentral:lncRNA from 1 species
GUGGUAUUUCUGUUCUUCUAAUGGCGAUUAAAAUGAUUAAGAAUGAAAGAAUUGAAUUUUGAAAUUACAGAAGCAAACAAUGAAGUGAAUGGCCUUAAGGUUGUGUUUCCUCUAUGACAUGGUGGUGGUAGUGCAUUCAGGAGGAAGGCCCUGUGGGAAUCGCUUGGUGUCAGAGCAGUAAUUGUAGAUCAUGUAAUUCUUCUGCACCCAUUUCAUUCUCUCUUGGCUUGUGGAAUCAAGCUCUUGUGAGUACCACUCUGUAUUGGUGGAGGUAGAAGUGGGAGUAUUUGAACUGCAAGAAGAAGCUCCAGAAGACCAGAUGCAAGCAUCUGCAUUGAAGUUCCUAUAGGAAGCAGUGAAGGGAGCUUGGCUCCAGUCUGUCUUGACAAGCCCACCUCUUGUUGCCCAGUCAUCUGCAUUCCAGAGACUGGAGUAUAUCCUCAUGGGCUGGUUCUUUGGGUAUGAAACACCGAUUGACUCAGAGUUCUUGAACUCCCUGAUGGGGGUGCCAUCCACAGAGAAGCUGAAACAGAGAUACCCCAGAUGAGUAAAUCAAUACAAAAACCCAAAAAACAUAAACCAGAUUGCAGUAUUGGAGAUUAGAAUAAUAGCACUUACAUAAUCCGCUGGGGAUUCCAAAGUAUGGAAUAGGUAUGGAAAUCAGCAGUUGGGUCAAACCAAAGGUAGAACUGCUGUUCUCUGUUUCCCUUGCCUUGGCUGAACACAUUAGUGUGAAGAAUGUAUGGAUCACCACUGAGAUUGCCCAGGAAUUCGAAGUCGAUUUCAUCAUGGGUUGGCCCUUGUGAAGAUAACUGCAAAUACACACAUACAUAAAUAAGAACUAUAUACUAAUCAGGAGAACAAAUUGUCAUCAAAUGGAGGAUGAUGUGCAACAAGUACUAUGAAAGGCGGGCUUACAUAAUAGGCAGUGACAGUGCCAGCAGAGUUUCCAGGAACAAGUUUGAGCUGCAUAUCAAUCUUGCCAAACAGAUACUCGUUCUUGGACUGGAAACCAGAUCCAGAGGUCUUGUCAAGGGAAAGAGUGAGAAGCUCUCCAUUGUUGAGUAUCUUAGCACGCCCGUCUCCCCAAGUGAUGUCAAAGUCUUGGUAGAAGUUACCUGCUGAGGCAGCCAUUAAGAAGCUCGCCACUACAGAGAUUAGCAGGGCUGUUGAAACAACUGAAAAAGAAGAAUAGAUGGGUGCCAUUGGCGGAUACGCUGUAUGGUUGGUCAGAGGUGUUUGAAGAGAAGAAGUUUGAAUUUAGUGACUUGAAAUUGAUCUCUCAGAGCUCCAAUUUAUACUUGGUGGGAGAGAUAUAGUGAGAUUGAGAGGGUACUGCUGGGAAGGUUCAAAGUGGGAGAACAAAGAAUGAGUUGUAUACAGAUGGCAGUGACAACCAUAUCUACAAAUGGGCUUCCACCUCCCCCCUAAUACUUUUUAAAUCAUCAGAAUCACACGGUUUUGCAAUAGAAAAGUAUUCAGGAAGUACCAUAGUUUUUAACUUCUGCCGCGUCUACCUGUCUCCCCCCCACCUCCCCCACCUCCCCCCAAAAUUGCUUUUGUCCGUUUCCAAUAUAUCAAACAGUUCAACAAAAAACAGCUCUCCAGUGUAAAAAUGUGCUGGACCAGAGCUUCCUACAUACAUCACUCCACCCACUGUCUUUCUAUGUCUAGAAAUCCUAAAUGCCAAAACAGGGAGAGAAAGAUAAGUAGCACCUGCCCAAGCCAUCAUCAUGCCCAGUUGUAAUAAAAAACAGCCCACCGUCUUUCGAAGUGCUUUUAUUGGAAACGUUCUUUCUAAAAGUACUUUUUGGGAAAAUCACAUGAAAAUGAUUUUUUAAUUUUUUAAAAGUGAUUUCUAAAUUUUAUCAAAUAUUUUAUUUUUUUCAAAAAUACUUUUAAAUUAGAAAUAAUAUUUAAAAAUAUUAUCAAACAUACACUUUAAGUUUUGACACUACAUCUUUUUUUUUUUUUUUAGAAUAUUGCUAUCUUUUAUAAUUAACUACCAUCUUUUAUAUUUUAGAGUAUUAACUUUUUAUUAUAUCUAUUGUUUUUAGAUUUAUAAGUCAUUAUGUACAAGUACUAUAUGAUACAAAUAUAAUAUUUUUUAUAAAUUAAUAAAUAUUUAUUUAUCAAUAAAUUAAUAAAUUAUUCAUUUAUAAGUAAAUCAACAAUUUAUUAAGAUUAUGUUUGGUUUUUGGAAAAUACUAAGGAAAGAAAAAAAAUGUAAAGGAAAAUAAUUUUUUCAUGUUUGAUUGUCUUAUAAAAAAUAUAAAAGAAAAUCAAAUAUAAUUAAAACUAAUUAAAAACUUAUAUAUUUUUAAAUUAUUUAAUUUUUAUAUUGAUGAGUUAAAAUAAAUAAAAUGAGUUUGAAGUAACAAAAAAAUAAUUUAUCAACUUUUAAUUUAUUUUUUUAUUUUUAUUCACUUUUUCUUUCCUUUUACUUUUUCUUUGUAUUUUCUUUCCCGUUUUCUUCAAAUUUUAUGGAACCAGGUGAUAAUUUUUCUUGGUCUCAAGAAUAGGGUUCUUAUUGAAGUUUUAAAAAGCAUACUACAAAAUUCACAGGUGGCUUAGUAUUCAUGAAUCAUAUCUCUUGUAAUAGUAACUAAUAAUCAAUCUAUCUUUCAUCAGAGAGUGAAUCAGACUCAAAAGCCAGUGAGGGAAAUGAUUGCUUUUAUGGCCAAUUAACUAUAGGGAUCAUGGAUUUGGGGGAGAAGGUUUCAUUUAGGUUAAUUUGAAACAUUGGUGAUUUUUGAUUUGUUUGUUUGCCGCCUUCAUCAUGCAUGGAGCAUUUUGAAUGAUUCAGUGCAUAGUUUUGGUGACUCUUAACUGAAGUUUCUUGCUGUUUGUGAUUGAAGUGGAAAGAAAUUAAGAUUAUUUACUCUUUAAAUUUGGUGUAAGGCCCAAUCCAUAUCUGUCAGAAGUUAAAGAACAAGCAGAAACAGAGAAAGGGCUAGAAGUUACAUUGACAAUGGUUCAUCUCCUCAGUUAUUUUCAACAAUUUUCUUUUCUUUGUCAUUCGUAAAGAAUAUUUUAUUAUUUGUAUUGUGCCAUAUAUUACAAUGUAAACAAUAUAAUAUUUCUGCUGUUGUAAUAGCAACUAAAAUGAUAAAGAAUGAAAGAAUAGAAAUGAAGAAAAUUUCAAAAGCAAACUAUCUGAUUGAAUGGGCUUAGGUUCCAUUCCUUCUAAGACAAGGUGGUGGCAGUGCAUUCAGGAGGAAGGCCUUGUGGGAAUCGCUUUGUAUCUGUGCAGUAAUUGUAGAUCAUGUAAUUCUUCUGUACCCAUUUCAUUCUCUCUUGGCUUGUGGAAUCUAGCUCUUGUGAGUACCACUGACCACUGGUGGAGGUAGAAGAGGGAGUAGUUGAACUGCAAGAAGAUGCUCCAGAAGACCAAAUGCAAGCAUCUGCAUUGAAGUUCCUAUAGGAAGCAGUGAAGGGGGCUUGGCUCCAGUCUGUCUUGACCAGCCCACCUCUUGUUGCCCAGUCAUCAGCAUUCCAGAGGCUGGAGUAUAUCCUCAUGGGCUGGUUCUUGGGAUAUGAAACACCUAUGGACUCAGAGUUCUUGAACUCUCUGAUGGGGGUGCCGUCCACUGAGAAGCUGAAACAGAGAUACCCCAGAUGAUUGAGCCAAUUAAGAAACCAAAAAAAAAAAAAAAACAUAAACCAGAUUUCACUAUUGGGGAUUAAUUACUGUACUACUUACAUAAUCCGCUGGGGGUUCCAAAGGAUGGAAUAGGUGUGGAAAUCAGCAGUUGGGUCAAACCAGAGGUAGAAUUGCUGCUCUCUGUUGCCCUUGCCCUGGCUGAACACAUUAGUGUGAAGAAUGUAUGGAUCACCACUGAGAUUCCCCAAGAAUUCGAAGUCUAUCUCAUCAUGGGUUGGCCCUUGUGAAGAUAGCUGCAAUUACACAAACCAGAAUGGUGAUUUGUGAGUCAGGAGAAGAUGAAACCAAGAAAGCAUUUGAUGGAAAAGCACUUGGUAAAGAGGAGGCUUACAUAGUAGGCAGUGACAGUGCCAGCUGAGUUACCAGGCACAAGCUUCAGCUGCAUAUCAAUCUUUCCAAACAGAUACUCAUUCUUGGACUGGAAGCCAGAGCCAGAGGUUUUGUCAAGGGAGAGAGUGAGAAGCUCUCCAUUGUUGAGUAUCUUGGCACGGCCAUCACCCCAAGUGAUUUCAAAAUCCUGGUACAAGUUACCAACAGAAGCAACCACAAAGGAACCGAGCAGAAGAGAGACCAAGAACAACUUUGGUGAAAGAUUCCAAGUAGAAGGAGAAGCCAUUGAAUGUGAAUUUAGAGACGAGAAAUGGAAGUAGUUUUGAGCGUGGAAGUGAAGAGAAUGGCGUGGGUAUGUGGGGGUUUUAUAGUAGGUGUCGUGGGGGAAAGUGGAAGGAGAUCGAGAAGAAGGUUCAGUCAGCAGCUGUACACGGUUGAAGAUGUAAAGACAACAGUUGUCAUCAAAUAGCAAAACCCAGUUCAUUUUCACGCGGAUUUUGCAUGGAUUUAAAAGAGAAAAGUGCAGAUCCACUUUCCCAUUUCCCAAGCACCAUUCAUCGCUCAUAACUAAAGCCACCACCGCCACUGAGUAAAAAACAAAAGCGAAUCAAACCCUUGAAACCGUGUCUCUCAUUAUUAUUUUUCAUCUCCAGUUGUAUCCGAAAAAGAAUCACCAAGCCCACAAAUAAAGUCAUAAUAGUAGGAGCCAGUAACAGCCCAAAAGCUCUGUGCUUCGAUGAAACCACCAUCUACUUGGUUUCCUGAAAAGAACUACUCACUGCCCUCUGCUCAACUAAUUUUUAAUUGUGAUGGGUUGGCUUAGAGUUUAAAUUUUAAAACUCAUGGAUCAAGGGGUGGGCCAUGUGCUUGAAGGCUUAAACCAACUGGUUACGAUAUUUCUUUUGGACAAUGUUAGAAUAUCUUAUACUAAUGCGGUGUUUGUUUUUUUACUUAAUUUUAAAUAGAAUCUUAAUACUUAAUAAUGUUAAAUAUUAAAUUAUUUAUUUUUAUAGUAUUUUAUUUUUAUUAAGUAUUAAAAAUUAAAAAAAAAUCAAUAUAUUAUUUUUUUUAUUUAAAAAAAACUACAUAUUUUUUAUUUAGUAAAAUGUUUAUAAUAAGUUAUGAAAAAAUAGAAAAUCAAACAACCUAAAUUUUGAAAACAAAUUACUUUUAGUAAAAAAAAAAAAAAAAAAUACCACCUAAGUAUCUUACUUCUUGAGCCAUUAUUUUGAUGACGUUGACAUUGUUACAAUUGCCAAUAGCUUUUUAUAUGGUUCAAGUCAAACCAACAGGUCACAAAUCAACACAAUUUAAGCAUUAUUCAAAACUGUUUUAAGGAUAGAUUUUCAAAACUCUUCUAUAAAGAAUAAAAAUUUGUUUGAGAAUUUAAAAUAUUUUUUUUAUAACUUUCAAUAUUUUAAAAAUAAUUUAUUUUUAAUCAUUAUUUAUAUUUGUAUAAUUAUUUUUUAAAAUAAUUUUUGAAAAAUAAGCCAAAACAAUUGAAAUAAUUAAAAGAUAUUAUUUGAAACCAAUUUUUAGAAAUAUAAAACUAUCUUUUUUUAAUAUUUGGUUGUUAAACAUGUUUUCCUCUUCUUUUUUUAUUUUUAUUUUUUUUUAUCAUGGAAACAUAAAACCAUUUUAAAAAGUAAUUUCCAAAUAAUACCUAAAUCUUGGGUGACAACAUUAUGUUUACUAAUUUCGGUAGGGAAAGGAGGGCAGCUGUUGAAAAAGAGGUCAUAUUUUUUAUUUUCCUUAUUAUUUUUCAAAACCAAAUAUAAUGUAGAAACAAUAGUAUUGUGAUUUCACUCUCUUCGUUACUUUGUGGGGUUCAACAUUGAGGUUGAGAUAAUGAUAUACAUGCCAUUCAUUGAGAAAGUAAUCUUUGUUGUAUUCAUGUAUUACAUUGUCAACAAUGUGGUGUUUCUGAAAUUCUGAUGGCAACAAAAACGAUAAAGAAUGAAAGAAUAUAAUUUUGAAAUUAUAGAGGCAAACAACGAAGUGAAUGGCCUUAGGUUCUGUUCCCUCUAGGACAUGGUGGUGGCAGAGCAUUCAGGAGGAAGGCCCUGUGGGAAUCUCUUUGUGUCUGCGCAGUAAUUGUAGAUCAUGUAAUUCUUCUGCACCCAUUUCAUUCUCUCUUGGCUUGUGGAAUCUAGCUCUUGUGAGUACCAUCCCCCAUUGGUGGAGGUAGAAGAUGGAGAGGUUGAACUGCAAGAAGAUGAUCCAGA